rnacentral:lncRNA from 1 species
AUGAGCCACAGCCCCCCUUGGAGCCUCCAUAGGAGCCACAGCCCCCUUUGCCACAGCCGGAGCAGGCACAAGCUGGCACACAGCAGCACACAGGCUUGCAGCAGCUGGACUGGGAGCAGCCGCCACAGGAGCCACAGCCCCCCUUGGAGCCCCCACAGGAGCCACAGCCCCCCUUGGAGCCUCCAUAGGAGCCACAGCCCCCUUUGCCACAGCCGGAGCAGGCACAAGCUGGCACACAGCAGCACACAGGCUUGCAGCAGCUGGACUGGGAGCAGCCGCCACAGGAGCCACAGCCCCCCUUGGAGCCCCCACAGGAGCCACAGCCCCCUUUGGCACAGCUGGAGCAGGCACAGGCUGGCACACAGCAGCACACGGGCUUGCAGCAGCUGGACUGGGAGCAGCCAUAGGAGCCACAGCCCCCCUUGGAGCCCCCACAGGAGCCACAGCCCCCUUUGCCACAGCUGGAGCAGGCACAGGCUGGCACACAGCAGCACACAGGCACACAGCCGCUGGAGCCACAGCCCCCACAGCUGGAGCCACAGCCUCCGGAACAGCCAUAGCAGCCCAUGGUUCUGGCGAGUGGAGAGUGGAGUAAGUCAGAGGAGCAGCAGGGUUGGCAGCAGCUGGACUGGCAACAACUAGACUGGCAGCAGUUGGGCUUGUAGCAGCCACAAGAGCCACAGCUGGAGCAGGCACAGGCUGGCACACAGCAGCACAGGGGCUUGCAGCAGCUGGACUGGGAGCAGCCACAGGAGCCACAGCCCCCCUUGGAGCCCCCGCAGGAGCCACUGCCCCCUUUGCCACAGCUGGAGCAGGCACAGGCCGGCACACAGCAGCACACGGGCCUGCAGCAGCUGGACUGGGAGCAGCCACAGGAGCCACAGCCCCCCUUGGAGCCCCCGCAGGAGCCACUGCCCCCUUUGCCACAGCUGGAGCAGGCACAGGCUGGCACACAGCAGCACAAAGGCACACAGCCGCUGGAGCCACAGCCCCCACAGCUGGAGCCACAGCCUCCGGAACAGCCAGAGCAGCCCAUGGUUCUGGUGAGUGGAGGGUGGAGUCGGUCAGAGGAGCAGGGGCAGAGAGAGGGGAGGGCUCAGGUGUGGCGCCUCCUGGGCCGGGGGCCUCUACAUACCUGCCAG